rnacentral:sRNA from 1 species
UUGAGACGCAUUGAUAGAGCC